UACGUAGGGAGCAAGCGUUGUCCGGAAUUAUUGGGCGUAAAGCGUGCGUAGGCGGUCAUUCAAGUCUGGUGUUAAAGCUAGAGGCUCAACCUCUGUGAUGCACUGGAAACUGGAUGACUUGAGUGCGGUAGGGGAAGGUGGAAUUCCGAGUGUAGCGGUGAAAUGCGUAGAUAUUCGGAAGAACACCGGUGGCGAAGGCGACCUUCUGGGCCGCAACUGACGCUGAGGCACGAAAGCGUGGGGAGCAAACGGG
rnacentral:rRNA from 1 species